AUUGAACGCUGGCGGCAGGCUUAACACAUGCAAGUCGAGCGAGCGGCGGACGGGUGAGUAAUGUCUGGGGAUCUGCCUGAUGGAGGGGGAUAACUACUGGAAACGGUAGCUAAUACCGCAUACCAUCGGAUGUGCCCAGAUGGGAUUAGCUAGUAGGUGGGGUAAUGGCUCACCUAGGCGACGAUCCCUAGCUGGUCUGAGAGGAUGACCAGCCACACUGGGACUGAGACACGGUCCAGACUCCUACGGGAGGCAGCAGUGGGGAAUAUUGCACAAUGGGCGCAAGCCUGAUGCAGCCAUGCCGCGUGUAUGAAGAAGGCCUUAGGGUUGUAAAGUACUGUCAGCGAGGAGGCGUUACCCGCAGAAGAAGCACCGGCUAACUCCGUGCCAGCAGCCGCGGUAAUUC
rnacentral:rRNA from 1 species